UACGUAGGGUGCAAGCGUUGUCCGGAAUUAUUGGGCGUAAAGAGCUCGUAGGCGGCUUGUCGCGUCGGCUGUGAAAACCUGGGGCUCAACCCCGGGCCUGCAGCCGAUACGGGCAAGCUAGAGUCGGUAGGGGAGACGUGGAAUUCCUGGGUGUAGCGGUGAAAUGCGCAGAUAUCAGGAGGAACACCAGUGGCGAAGGCGGCUACUGGUCCGGUACUGACGCUGAGGUGCGAAAGCGUGGGGGAGCAAACAGG
rnacentral:rRNA from 1 species